GACACCGUAAAGUACGCGAUAGUGUCCGUCUUCGUUCUCCAGCUGGGAAUUGUGUCUUUCCGCGUUUUUCAUAUUACUAAACGUCACGUGUGCCUGUCUAGUCGUUUGUCUAGUCGUUUGUCUAGUACCUCGACGUCCUAUUCGAAACCAUCGAAAAGAAAUUUGCCCGCGACGAACGUAUGAAAGUGAAAAGUGCUCGCUCGUUUUUCUCGUGGAGUAUGUAACAUCAAUUAGUGCCGAGUUAUCGCGUUGACAACGUGACGCGUCGCGAGUAAACUAAAGAUUGAAAGAGAUAUCGCGCGUAAAGUGCUUCGACCGUGCGAGAACUUGCCGUGUCUUCCGUGCAUAAGUUUUCCUAAUUCGCGUAUGUUUAGGUUAGGGGGGACAUAACGUGCACUGGACCUACAUAGUAAAAUUGCAUCCCCGUCAAACGUGGUUCGCCGGUAGCGAACUGAGCAACCAAUGAAGGCUCUCGCAUCCAAAGGACUGGGAACAUCCUACCGUUUCCGGUAUUAUUUUUGGCGGGAUAGCUUGUGCCGCAUCUCGAGAUUCGCGUGUGACAGACGCUGUGACACACGAGGACAAUGCACGGAAUUUCGGUUUUGAAUUUUGCUUUGACGUGACGCGUGUCGACGAGACUCGAUGUAGUGCGCGGAUUGCUAUGACAUUUGGCUUUGACUGAGUGGCUGUUAGAGUGCCGUAUCUCUAUCACUCCUGGGGAUGUGAUUUAUGUUGCCGUGUACCAAAUUUUGCUGCGACGUCGAAUCGGUGCUGAAGUCUCGGAGGCCCGUGGCGCGAUAAACUACGUGGAUCAUAGAAAGGAGAUUUUCUACUACUGCUGCUUGGUG